UACGUAGGGUGCGAGCGUUGUCCGGAAUUAUUGGGCGUAAAGAGCCCGUAGGCGGUGUGUCGCGUCGGUCGUGAAAACUUGGGGCUUAACCCUGAGCUUGCGGUCGAUACGGGCAUCACUGGAGUUCGGCAGGGGAGACUGGAAUUCCUGGUGUAGCGGUGAAAUGCGCAGAUAUCAGGAGGAACACCGGUGGCGAAGGCGGCGACCUGGGACAAUACUGACGCUGAGGUGCGAAAGCGUGGGGAGCAAACAGG
rnacentral:rRNA from 1 species